CACCAGGGGCGGUAUACACAAACGUUCUUAGCAUCGCUAAGUGCACUUAACGGCAAAGAAUCGUUAAGUUUUCUACUUAAAAUGGCGCUGGGCCGCUUAGCGCUGAAGCUGGAGCACUUAGCGGGCGGAAAAUUUAAGGCGGGGAAGGGGCUCCCUUAGCACCGUUAAAAAUGCAUAAGUAUUGCAACAUGGUGGAUUACAGCGGGAUGAAAGGCAUCACCUCCUAACAUAUCUGCCUCGUCUAGACGAAUUGGAGGCGUGUAAUUAUUUGAAACUCAUCCUGAAAUAUCUGUGGACUGUGCUGACCGUGCUGAGAUGAGUGGUUCGGCGAGGCGGACCUUGGAAACACCUACAUGGCCAUCACGACUGAAGUGGUGUUCGCUGACAGGUAAAAUGCAGGUGCAACCUUCACAGGCUGACAGAGAUUGAGUGAUAACAGACACUGGAGACCCUCCAAGCGAUGGCUGGUGACCGCCUGCCACCAUCCACAGGCUGUCACACAAGGAGCCCUGGGAGUAACCUUGCUGGAAGCCCCGCGGGCCGCAGUGUGUGGCUGGCGUUAUACAGCCCCCAGCCAUCGCCUGGAGGGCAUCCAGUGUCUGUUAUCACUCACCUUAGGUAGUCUGUGAAGGUCCAGUCAUCACUGGCGCACGUGUAUCUUACCUGUGAUCAACACCGGCAGCCACAGACUCCUGCCCAAGGAGCGAACACAGUGAUCGUGAUGACAUUGACAACAACGAGCAAGUCCUCCUAGACCUAGAGUGACCUCAAGCUGGGCCAAACAUGAUGUGGAAGAAGAAAUCAGUUGUCUCCAUCAGUCGAGUUUGUGCCAUGGCAGCUUUCUCCAGCUGUCCGGCAGAGGUCCAGUCCAUGCCAUGGAGAAAUUCAGCCCCCAACAAUGAGAUGGCAUGCCAGAGAUGGAUCCGCAGCUUCUCCUCCAAUCAAUCAAUCCUUGCAAUGCCUUUUCUCUUUUCUCUCCUUCUGUACCACCAUGCUUACACAUAACUGAUCCAAGGUACUGAAACUCAUUACCCUCCUCCAUUUCUUCACCAUUCAAAAUUAUUUGGCAUUCUUUUUCACAUUCAAUGCCCACUCUAUAUGGGCAUACAAACUCUACAACCUCCCUUCUACUCCGCUCACAAACCAUCACUUUACUUUUGUUGACAUUUACUUUCAACUUUCUCCUUUUACAUACACUAUCAAAAACACUGACCAAAUUUUGUAAGUCACUUUCAUUUUCUGCAUUGAGCACCGUGUCAUCAGCAUACAUUUUUACUUCAAUUUCCCCAACUUUGCCCUUCAUUUCUCAUAACACCAUCCAUAUAAAUAUUGAACAACCAUGGUGACAUGACACACCCCUGCCUUAGCCCACUUUCAUCUCAAAAUGUUCACUUGUUUCUCCAGUAAUUUUGACACAUGCAGAUGCAUCCUCAUAGAAAGACUUUAUUGCAUAAAGCAGUUUUCCUCCCACACCAUAUAUCUUUAAGACGUCCCACAAUGCCAGCCAAUCGACUCUGUCAUAAACUUUCUUUAGAAUAACUAGAUCCAUGAAGGCAGCAUAGUAUUUUUUCCUUUUGCUAAUAUUUUUUCUAAUAAAACACCAUCCUGAAGGAAAAUAUCUGAUCCACACAUCCUCUUCCCUUCCUGAAGUCUCCUUGUUCUUCACUGAUUUUCUCUUCUGUAAGUCUUUGCGCAGUCUCAAUUAGGACUUUUCCAUAUACCUUUCCAGGUAGCCUACACUCAGCAGACUUAUACCCCUACAACUCCCACCUCCCCUCUCCUGCCCUUCCCCUUGUAAACUGGGACCAUGAUGGCUUUUGUCAAGUCUGCUGGGACCUCCCCCCCCCUUCCCAGGCCACUUCACAUAUCUUGACCAUUCAUAUAGUAACUUCAUCUCCACACUUCAACAUUUCUGCUGUGAUUCCUCUCAAUUCAUUCAUCAUCAUCAUCUCAUCGACGCCUGCUCUUAGGAGCUCCCACCAGGGGAUGGCCACGGCAGAAGUUUCCAUCUUUCUCUAUCCGGACACUCCCUCCUUGCCUGCUCAAAGUUUCUCAAGGAUCUCUCAUCCUUCUCCCUAACGUACUCCUGCACCCUAUCUCUCCAUUUCACUGGAGGUCGUCCUCUAACAUUCCCUCCCUCAAUCUCACAUACACCCUUCUGGUCAUCUUACUCUCCUCCAUUCGCUCCAUGUGGCCAAACCACUUUAAAGUCACUUAUUCCCUUCACCCCCGUGACACAUUCCAAAACGCUCAUACACACUUUCAUUACUUAUUCCAUCCAUUCUACUCACACCACAAGCACUCCUCAAAUAACUCAUUUCCACUGCCUGCACUCUAGA